AGUGAAUGGAAGAAUAUUGAAGAUAUAGCAAAUUGUUUAAUAAGUAUUUAAAACAACAACUAGAAAUUCUUUCUGGAGUAGAAUAUCCUACAGUAAACUUAGCACUUUUAUUUAGAGCAGAAAUUGAAAGCAAUAUGUGUGAAAAUGAAGAUGAUUCAUUUAUAAUAAAACAAUUUAAGAAAACUAUUUUACAGAACUUAAAAAAGCGAUUUCCAAUACACGAAGCCCAUGUUUGCGGAGCACUUCUAGAUCCGACUCUUCAAAAUGUUAAAGGUGUUGCAGAAUAUCUUGCAGAUAAGCAACAAUCUGCUGAGGAAUUUUUAGUAUAUAUGAUCCACAAGAUGGUUCCUUUGAAUAUUAGAAAUAAACAGGUAUCUAAGAGAGAAACAGAUAUUUAUUCUAAUAAGUCAUGUCAGCUUCUUGGAGUCAAAAAAUUACGUUUGGAAUUAGCUGCGAAACACGCAAAUAUUAUUCCUCCUGAAGAUCCUAUUCUUAUUGAAGUUAAGAAGUAUUUACAUAUAUCAGAAUCUAUCGAGGAUCCUCUACAAUAGUGGAAUAAAAUGAAGUUAUCACUGCCAAAUUUGUACAAAUUGAUGUGCUGCAUUUAUGCUAUUCCGAUCACUAGUUCAGCAUCUGAGCGUGCAUUCUCUUCUGCAGGUUUACUUAUCACAGCAAAACGUUCUGCGUUAAAACCGUCAAAAUCUAACAAAAUCCUAUUUAUUCAUGAUAAUUUUAAAUUAAUAAAAGAUAUAUAUUUAAAAUACUAUAAAAUAAGUUAUAUAUAAGUUAUC